rnacentral:lncRNA from 1 species
UCAUUGAAAAUAUAUCCCACUAUAUAAGCUAUUUAUUUCUUUCAGUUUGUUAUUGAACAUCUCAAACAAUGGCACCGAAAAAAAUACAGUAGUUCAUAAGGAUUAAAUGUCAUAUAGUCAAAGAAAUUGUUAUGAAAUUAUGCUCAUAUAUGUAAACUCAUCAUAUUAUAAACUGAAUUAGUCUAUAUGCCUUUGAUAAUCCAGGCAGUGAUUAAUUAUCUAGCUUUUUACAGCCAGUUAAUACACUGCUGUUCAAUGUGUACUGUUGUAUAAAUGAACACACAGAGAUAGCUAAUAACAUCUGGAGAUUCUGACCAAGAUAAAGACCAAUGGAAAUGCAGGCUUCUGAAGCCGUUUUACACAUGUAGCCCCAAGAAAUAAUCCCAAUACUUUUUUUUAUUUUUUUUCUAUGAUCUUUGCAAAUUCUGUGAGCAAAUAAAUGGAAAAAUUCUCACGAACUGUAUAUAUAUAUUUUAAGAACAUUCCAGAUAUUCCCUUCAGUAACUAUACUGUGCCAAGGAAUAUUGCUCAUGAAUACAAAAAUUUGAAUGUAAACAGGAAGUGCUUUGUUCUAGAUGUUGGAGGCAAAAUGGAAUGGAGCUAAAUAAUUUUGUACCUUGAAAUUCAAAAAUGCUUUUUGAGAGAUAUCAGAUACAAGAGUGUACAUAUUUAGUUAUUAGAAGCAUUGUCUUCAACAUGUAUGAAUGAAAUGAUGUAAUCAGAUAUUUGAUGGCUUUAGUGACUAUGCAGCAUGCUACAGGAUGAAAUGAGAUCACAGACAGAGACCCCAUCAAACACUAAACUAAAUGGCUGGAAUGAGGUUCCUGACCCUGGUGAUGGUUUUAGCAAAGCUAAUUAAGAGACAUUCUGGUGCCACCUAUAUUGAGCCAACAUAACUCCAAAAAUAAUUUUGUUGUAUUCAUAACUUUCUAUUAAAUAAUUUUUAUAUUUAAUAUAUCUUGUAGUUUAAUUUUUUAGUUAAAGCUAAGUGAAUAUUUAUCAUUCUUAACCAGACAUCCACUUGUCUGAUAUGUAGAUUUGAACAAAUGCCCUGUUACGGUAGGAAGUUCAAGCCACAAUUGCCAGGCUAGGCUAAGAAGUGCUGCAUGAUGACAGGUCCUUGGAUGGCAUGGACCCAGUCCACGGAUGGCAUGGACACCAUCCAUGGAUGGCUUAGACACUGGACAAUGUCCAUGGAUGGCAUGGCCACUGUCCAUGGAUAUGCCCUGGACACUGGCCAUGGAUGCCAUGGACAUUGUCCAUGGCCACUGUCCCUGGACAGGCACGGAUUUUUAUCCAGGGAUACACAGUUUUUGUCCAUGGAUAUGUGUUCCAAUACUCCAUGGACAACAGACCAUGCUGAAAUCCAUGGAAUCCAUGGACAUACUACAGC